rnacentral:rRNA from 1 species
AUGACAGUUCGGCCAGCAGUCUGGCGCCCGAUGAUAGACCUCAAUUAUAUCUGGUUCAUGGAAGGGACGCCGCCUCCAGAGUCGUCAAACGACAACCAGAUGGACGAGGAGCCGUCGGAGGACGAAGAAGAGGACGACGAUGAUGAUGAGGAGGAAUGGUCGAACGAGGAGGGGGACGACGAUGACAGCAAUGACGAUGACGACGACGGCGGCGAUGAAAAGCCAACGGUCAGCGGCAAGAAGCGUCCUCGCCAAGACGAUGUCGCGGGGCCAUCCAACAAGAACAACAAGAAGAAGGACUAA